CUGCGGAGGGAUCAUUACCGAGUUUACAACUCCCAAACCCAAUGUGAACGUUACCAAACUGUUGCCUCGGCGGGGUCACGCCCCGGGUGCGUCGCAGCCCCGGAACCAGGCGCCCGCCGGAGGAACCAACCAAACUCUUUCUGUAGUCCCCUCGCGGACGUAUUUCUUUACAGCUCUGAGCAAAAAUUCAAAAUGAAUCAAAACUUUCAACAACGGAUCUCUUGGUUCUGGCAUCGAUGAAGAACGCAGCGAAAUGCGAUAAGUAAUGUGAAUUGCAGAAUUCAGUGAAUCAUCGAAUCUUUGAACGCACAUUGCGCCCGCCAGUAUUCUGGCGGGCAUGCCUGUCCGAGCGUCAUUUCAACCCUCGAACCCCUCCGGGGGAUCGGCGUUGGGGAUCGGGACCCCUCACACGGGUGCCGGCCCCUAAAUACAGUGGCGGUCUCGCCGCAGCCUCUCCUGCGCAGUAGUUUGCACAACUCGCACCGGGAGCGCGGCGCGUCCACGUCCGUAAAACACCCAACUUUCUGAAAUGUUGACCUCGGAUCAGGUAGGAAUACCCGCUGAACUUAAGCAUAUCAAUAA
rnacentral:sRNA from 1 species